UGCAUUAUUUUGUGAGAAUUAUUUAGGUGCUCUAAAAGAAUAGAGGUGCGGUUCUGAAAUAAUAGAUGUUGAUCCAAACCUUGCUUGAGUGCAGGUGUGUAAUGUCAAUCAAUUAUUUCUUAUUUGAGUGUCAGAAAUGCUUUCUGAGUGAAUCAUUUCCAUUGGCUGCUUCUUAUUACCAUGCAUGUAUAUGUAAUGAAAAGUUGUAGUUAUACUUUGUCUUCCUCACACAGGUCCAUGAGUCCAGCCUACAGACAACUCAUACAACAAAACAGAGUGAACAACUUAAUCUCUUGUAUGCCUAACUAUGCGGAUAUAGGUAACGCAGCAUUCGUUUGUUUUCUAUAACUUUACUGCGCAUAUGUGAAUUAGUAUAUCUUCAGUUUGUUCCACACCCCUCUGUUUUAUAUAAUCCCGUGACAUUUUAUAUUUGUACAACUUGCAUGGAAGGAAGUAAAGCAAAUUUGGGAUUCACCAUGACGAUGUGCAUUCUAGGAUUCACCAUGACGUUG
rnacentral:lncRNA from 1 species